rnacentral:tRNA from 2 species
GUCUGGGUGGUGUAGUUGGUUAUCACGCUAGUCUCACACACUAGAGGUCCCCAGUUCGAACCUGGGCUCAGACA